UUCGCAAUGCCCGAAAGGGUGACGAAGCGACGCCGCGUGGGUGAGGAAGGCCUUCGGGUUGUAAAGCCCUGUCAGGAGUUAAGAAAUGUAGACUCGCUAAUAUCGGGUCUAUUUGACAAAGGCUCCAAAGGAAGCCACGGCUAACUCUGUGCCAGCAGCCGCGGUAAUACAGAGGUGGCAAGCGUUGUUCGGAAUUAUUGGGCGUAAAGAGCACGCAGGUGGAUUUGUAAGUCAGACGUGAAAGCCUUCUGUUCAACGGAAGAAUUGCAUCUGAAACUACAAACCUUGAGUCUAGGAGGGGAGAAUGGAACUUCUGGUGGAGCGGUGAAAUGCGUAGAUAUCAGAAGGAACGCCGGCGGCGAAAGCGAUUCUCUGGCCUAUUACUGACACUCAGUGUGCGAAAGCUGGGGGAGCAAACGGGAUUAGAUACCCCGGUAGUCCUAGCCGUAAACGAUGGGCACUAAGUAGAGGGGUUUU
rnacentral:rRNA from 1 species